AGAGCAAAUGUCAAUCUGAAAAACUGUAUUUGUUACAAGGUUUUUGUUAUAACUAUGCUUAGAAUUUCUGCAAUCUCAAGGUACAACAUUGAUGCUCUGUGCCUCCUACUGAAUACUUUGAGGCAAAACAAAGAGUGUGUUUAUAUGGACUUAAGUAACUCGGUUUAACCCUGAUUUGGAUCAUUUUCAUGAUAUGGUGCAUGCAGUGAAACCUGGUUAUUCAAUUCCCUGUGGACAUGAUAAAGACUUGUAUCUUGUUCUCUGAUUACUGCAUCACUUUUGAGUACAUGCCUGUGUUUUUUUUUCUAGCAACACUAACCGCAGCAAAUUAGUGAAUUUGCUGUCUACAAUCUCUGCCUAAUUCUCUCAUAACAGAAGAACAAAAACUCUGAUUCUUCUUCACUCCGGAACUCAGACACACUCUUUACUGCUGCUGCUGCUGCUAUGUUUGUGUUGUUGAAAUGUCACACGGCUGAGGCCACACCUGUGCAGGUAGUCAGCAGCUGUCAGAAACCGGCUACAGUAUCUUGUAUUUUCUUUCACUUCAUGAUGUUCACAUGCACUAACACAAAAACAGGACGCUUAAAAAACAACAACAAUCAAACCAGACUUUUCCAGUCUAACCCCUGAUUUUCGCCGAUCCAUCCGCAUCCGUUUGUGUGGCGGAUUUUGUGGCGGAUUACAGACAGCAGGAAUCGCGAGAACUCACAAGAGCCUGCGGAUUCACAUGCAAUCAGGCGAUAACAAGUUGUCUUUAGCCACAUAGGCUAACCAUAUAAGCAGUAGACUGUGUCCUUCCAGAAGAGGAAAUCUAUUUCUAGACUUAUAAAAUCAGCAUCCUCUCAUCCAUGGUGUCAUCAGGAUGAAAUGCUAAAAACCUGUCACAUGUUCAUUCCCGCCUGUUUGCAUGGUGUGAAAUACAAUCCGCCUAAAACACAGAGUGUUUUAUUUUGAAAAGAAGCUGGAUGUUUUAUUUUGUGCCUGUGCCCAACUUCCUCUCCAACACGGUUUAAUUUGUGCUGAAUUUAUCCGGCACCUUCCAGCUCUUGCGAUCAGCUGCGGAGUCUGGCAAUGUGCAGAGGAACGGAAAGAAGCCGGUGGAAAUUGACACAGUGACUUGAAUGGUUAUGAUCAGCUGCGAUCAGCAGAUACGGCCUUUUUGUAGCUGUUGCGGUUGGAAAUUAGGGGUACGUAAAAGCAAUUGACAAAUUGACUAUUUGUAUUUACACUUUGACCCUUAGGCUUCACUUAGUUUGCCUCUGUACAAGAAUAACUGAGUCAAAUGAUGAAACACUCUUCCUCCUAAAAAAAAUGAGGAGAGCAGCUCUUGCACAUAUCAGCUCUGGCGUGUGCUUCCCCUCCCUUCCCCUUCAGCUCAAUUAACCUCCAACCGCUGGUGAGGGCAAACCCCAUGCAGCCUUGGAGGCAAAAAAAAUUGCUUUUCAUGGUUUAAGGUACAGCACUCAUUUAAGACAAACUGUCAUAUUCUAGCAGCAUUUUUAAUACACAUGACACAGGAAUGAACUGUGACCUCAAAUACAAAUGUAGCUGCUCAUUCCACCAGUUAUCCAAACCUGUCUUAGACUGUGUGAGCUCUGUAAUACUGCCCUGUACCUUCAUUUCUAUGAGUUGGUCAGUGGUAAACUGGACUGCUGGGAUGCUCAUUAAGGCAAACAGAAUGUUAACAGAGGCCCCAUUCAGAGGAAGAAACACAUCCUAUUGUGUCUCCUGUUGUACUUGGCAGCGAGUGAGUGUGUAAGAAGGAGCAACAGAUUGUGUGACAGACACCUGGAUCACAGAAACAUGUGAUCAGAAAGACUGGCACUAAUCCUAAGGAGCUCCUCGCUAAGAUUUGACAUUGUCUACUGUGAAAAGUUGAUUGACAUUUUAGUUUGAAGGACUGAGAGCACAUACCACUUUCCCUUUUCAUUUUUUUUUUGUGUAAUACUUUCACAACCACUUCAGUAAGCAUGCAAAUAUGACUCUCUUUAACAGCAGGGAGGACUGAAAUCUGCCAAAUUUGGGGCGGUAUAUAGUAUUUGUUCACUCCACCCCUUUCCCUCUAAUAAACACCAAAGAAUCUGAUACACAAAACACACACAUACAAACACUCGGGCCUAGUCCUUCCCAUGAUGCAUCCAGGCUUGGAGAAACUCGGCCCCCUGGGGACGAGCAGAUUAACACAUGACAGAGCUUGUUAACCCUGGACAAAGAGAGAUGCUAAUCUUGUACAGUCGGCCUUGACCGUCCUCAAACAGUAAACAGACACAGCCACAGAGAGGGACAGAGAGAAGCCCAAGAAAGACGGGAACGAGCGAGGGAGGGAUACGCAGCAGCAACAGAGGCGUCAGUAUGUCCCAGAAAAAAAGACAAUACUGCGGGGAGGCACGGGCGAGAGGGUCCGUCAGCCCCAGAACAAGGGCAGACAGAGCCCAACUGCAAACAAGACCCCAACAGCAAAGGCCCGACUUCAGCCUGGCAGAGCUCCACUGCCUGCAGGGACGACCGGCAGGGCAGCGCAGAGCUCUCCUGUGUGAAUAUUGAUCGCACAGGCGGAAGCGGUGAAGCCAACUUGCAGCCCCACAGAUGGGAAGGACAGGGACAGACAGAGGAAGUGCAUUAGUGGAACAGGGUCCUCUGAUGCUGUUAGCUCUUUCCCCUGGGAGAUAAGAGAGAUAGUAGUGACAAGGUUUUAGGAGAGAACAAUAAAAAUGGAGGAGAGGCAGAGACAGUGUGUCAGCAAAAACAAAAAUAGGCAGACGAGAAGAGAGGCAGACUCAAUAGAAUGGCUACACAGAAAUUAAGGCUAAUUUGUAACCAAAGAGCUGCUGGAACAUCUCCAUAAUGGGCCGUCAGCCCACAAACAAGCUCCUCUGUGGGGUAAAUGAGAUCAGGCCAGCCCGGGACCAGCUGGUGGCUCGGAUCAAUGACACCAGAUAGGGCUCAUACAGAGGCUGAGGAGGAAGGCAGAAAUGAGGCAUCUGGACAGGAUGGCAGAAGAAACACACCCAAGAGGUUUCAGCCUUCGCUCUCUUGAGCUUUUGCACCGGGGCACCAACAUUCACACGCACAGUACAAGUGCAACGAUUGUGUCCUUUUGUAAGAGGAUUAUGUCGUCCUGUUUGAAGAGGAACAAGGCACGUUCCAGAUGGAAUCUGAGUCCUUACUGGACAGACGACUGGAGGGAUAGUUUUCCAGUUCAGCAGCUUUUCUACUUUAUAAAUCGCACAACUGGCCUUCCAACAUCACAUCUGCCCACAAGCUUCCAGAAACGCUUCUCUCAACGCUUCCCCAGCAACCAUAAAAACAAACAUUUAGCAUUACUGGGAGUUUUAAAUUCCUCUUUAUGCUUGUUAAAGACGGAUAAAAACCAGGAGAAAUUGAUAUUUGGAUAUUUGGUGCCCACAGCUGCCUGCAACAAAGGGACUAUAUCAUUCUCUCAACACUGUUUCUUGCACAAAUGCCAUUCAUUCCACUUGAGACUGUGGUGAGGGUUGACGCUGACAUAAUUCUAACAUCAGCCACUGAGCC